rnacentral:tRNA from 1 species
GGGCGCUUGGUCUAGGGGUAUGAUUGUAGGUCUCCCCCUGCUCGCUACGUGGCACUCAAUAUCUAACAACUCUUCAGUUCGCUUCGCAUGCCUCCAACAUGAGAAUUGUGAAAGGUCGUGGGUUCAAUUCCCACAGCGUCCA